CUACGGGGCGCAGCAGUGGGGAAUAUUGGGCAAUGGGCGCAAGCCUGACCCAGCAACGCCGCGUGAGGGAAGAAUGUCUUCGGAUUGUAAACCUCUGUCCUUGGGGACGAAAAAAAUGACGGUACCCAAGGAGGAAGCUCCGGCUAACUACGUGCCAGCAGCCGCGGGAAUACGUAGGGAGCAAGCGUUGUCCGGAAUUAUUGGGCGUAAAGGGUGCGUAGGCGGCGCUGUAAGGCAGAUGUGAAAUCCCCGGGCUUAACUCGGGAGUUGCAUUUGAAACUACAGUGCUUGAGUAAAGAAGGGGUAAGUGGAAUUCCUAGUGUAGCGGUGGAAUGCGUAGAUAUUAGGAGGAACACCAGUGGCGAAGGCGACUUACUGGUCUUUUACUGACGCUGAGGCACGAAAGCGUGGGGAGCAAACAGGAUUAGAUACCCCCGUAGUC
rnacentral:rRNA from 1 species